AAGACUAUACUUUCAGAGAUCAUUUCUUUAGUUGUUGAUUUGAGAAAUGUGUUUGUAAAGAGUUCGUUGUCGCUGUCCAUGAUGAAGAGUUCAGAUGCUUCCUUCAGAGUUGGAAACUGGUGGGAAGACUUUCUUUCUUUUUGACUAUUAAAGAUUGUUUGGAGCUACUCAAAGACUCCCUGAAGCAGGAAACAUGAUCUCAGUGGA
ensembl:snoRNA U3 Small nucleolar RNA U3